UACGUAGGUGGCGAGCGUUGUCCGGAGUUACUGGGCGUAAAGGGGGCGCAGGCGGCGGUGCGUGGUGGGGAGUGAAAUCCGCGGGCUUACCUCGCGGGGGUCUUCCCAGACGGCACGGCUGAUCACAUAGGAGAGGCGCGGAGAGGGGCGUGGAAUUCCGGGUGGAGCGGUGAAAUGCGUAGAGAUCCGGAGGAACACCGACGGCGAAGGCAGCGCCCUGGCCGCGACCUGACGCUGAGGCCCGAAAGCU
rnacentral:rRNA from 1 species